rnacentral:rRNA from 1 species
GACGAACGCUGGCGGCGUGCUUAACACAUGCAAGUCGAACGGAAAGGCCCUGCUUUUGUGGGGUGCUCGAGUGGCGAACGGGUGAGUAACACGUGAGUAACCUGCCCUUGACUUUGGGAUAACUUCAGGAAACUGGGGCUAAUACCGGAUAGGAGCUCCUGCUGCAUGGUGGGGGUUGGAAAGUUUCGGCGGUUGGGGAUGGACUCGCGGGUUAUCAGCUUGUUGGUGGGGUAGUGGCUUACCAAGGCUUUGACGGGUAGCCGGCCUGAGAGGGUGACCGGCCACAUUGGGACUGAGAGACGGACCAGACUCCUACGGGAGGCAGCAGUGGGGAAUAUGGCACAAUGGGCGGAAGCCUGAUGCAGCAACGCCGCGUGCGGGAUGACGGCCUUCGGGUUGUAAACCGAUUUCGCAUGUGACGAAGCGUGAGUGACGGUAAUGGGUAAAGAAGCACCGGCUAACUACGUG